rnacentral:lncRNA from 1 species
CAAUUUUAAUGAUAGGAGUGAUUAUUUGUUUUGCCAUUAUUGAGUUUCAUUACAUAAUUCCUCAACGAUAUUAUACUAUUUCUUCUAAUUAUUAUAUUGCAUCUGAAUUAGAAUUAGAAAAAUGUAUCAAGCGAUGCCGAGAAACUAUUCCAGAACACACGAUAACUAGGAGGUAUUGCAUUAGUAGAUGCUAUGAUCGUUAUGGAGCAAAUUAAUAGUGGUAGGUGCUAAUAAUUUAUUUUAAAUAUUUUUUAGUUUAUACUAUUUAUUACAUAUAUGAAUAUUUGUUGUGUUCUAACUUCUAAGAGUUUAUUUGGGUGAGUUUCUAAAAAAAGAUCUUUUUUCGAGUUAUCUUUUUUUAAAAGAUCUUAUGAAAAAGUAAAAGUAAUUUUAUGUUUAGAUAUUUCAUGUAAAAAGAUCUUUUUUUUUAUCUAUUAAUUAUGUUUGGAUAUAAGUAUAUAACAAUAUAAAAGUACUUUUUUGUUUAUUUAUUACAUGAAAAAUAUCUUUUUUUAAGAAAAAAAAAUCUUUAAAAAAAAAUAUAAAUCACAGUUUCUCAAAAAAGAUGUUUUUUUUUUUAUUUUUUUAGUACUUUUACUUUUACUACUAAAAAUUUACCAAACACGCUAAAAAAUAAAAAAAAAAUCUUUUUUCAUUGAAAAAAUCUUUAUUUUUAUUCAAAUAAUAACGUCCAAACAAAUACUAAGACUUACCUUUUCAAGAUUUUCUAAUCUUCUUUUUUUUUUUUGGGUUACCAGAUGAAGCUUAUGAUGAAAAUCCUCGGAUGCAUAGAUGAAGAACAUUUUAAGAAGUGAUUCAUGUGUUUGAUUUUAAUGGUUUUAAUGCUUUUUUUUUAUUUAAUAUUAUUACUUUUUUUUUUCCUUCUUGUGUAC